UUGAUGGGCGUCGACCGGCGCACGGGUGAGUAACGCGUAUCCAACCUGCCCAUCACUUGGGGAUAACCUUGCGAAAGUAAGACUAAUACCCAAUGAUAUCUCAAGAAGACAUCUGAAUGAGAUUAAAGAUUUAUCGGUGAUGGAUGGGGAUGCGUCUGAUUAGCUUGUUGGCGGGGUAACGGCCCACCAAGGCGACGAUCAGUAGGGGUUCUGAGAGGAAGGUCCCCCACAUUGGAACUGAGACACGGUCCAAACUCCUACGGGAGGCAGCAGUGAGGAAUAUUGGUCAAUGGACGAGAGUCUGAACCAGCCAAGUAGCGUGCAGGAUGACGGCCCUAUGGGUUGUAAACUGCUUUUAUAAGGGAAUAAAGUGAGCCUCGUGAGGCUUUUUGCAUGUACCUUAUGAAUAAGGACCGGCUAAUUCCGUGCCAGCAGCCGCGGUAAUACGGAAGGUCCGGGCGUUAUCCGGAUUUAUUGGGUUUAAAGGGAGCGUAGGCCGGAGAUUAAGCGUGUUGUGAAAUGUAGAUGCUCAACAUCUGCACUGCAGCGCGAACUGGUUUCCUUGAGUACGCACAAAGUUGGCGGAAUUCGUGGUGUAGCGGUGAAAUGCUUAGAUAUCACGAAGAACUCCGAUUGCGAAGGCAGCUCACUGGAGCGCAAGUGACGUUGAAGCUAGAAAGUGCGGGUAA
rnacentral:rRNA from 1 species